AUGGACUUGAAGCUGAAUUAAAAUCCACGACGUUACAACCACGUUACAACGGUUGAAUGCAGGACUCGAACAUGAGGAUGAGGACUGCAGCCAUACUGGGACUGCCACACUACAUCUCUGAAGAGCCGUGUAAUAUCUUCAGGAUGUGUGAUGUACAUCACGGUACAAUGGCGGCUGCCAUGCAGGGGAUGGACGUCGGCCUGCUUAUUGGAUAUGAAGGUGCUCAUCAGAAUGGAUUCCCUUUGAACAUC